UAUUAGAGACUAGGCUUGGGUAACAACUCACGUUCCUGGAGUUGGUGUGUCAGGUCAACACCCCAAAUUCCCAUCAAGUUUGGUCCUGUGGCGGUAGGAAUUCGCUGUCAGGUUUGGGUUGAGUCAUCAUCACAAUGAUUCUAGAUCCAAGAGCUGUGGCAUUUUUGAGCCCUAGAAUCAGAAGCAAGUGUGAACUGGUAUUUGUGAGGUUUUCCAACUAGAAACAGAGGCCAAGGUGGGUAAGUAGUAGGGGGGCCUGAUGAGAGACACGCCAGGGAAAAUGGCAGAUACAGCAUGGAGCUGUCCUAUCAAGGUGACAGAGAAGCCCCGAAAGAGGAGUCAGAAGGAGGUGCAAGACCAGAGCAGCAUCCCUCAUGUAGGUGGGGCAGCAGAGGGUUCCACAAGAUCUGGGUUCAACCAAGAGUUUAACAGGUACUGUUUGACUAGUGACGGCUCGCUCCGUCACAAGUGGCGCCCGAACAGGGACCUGAGAAUUGAGGACAAGGUGAAGGACACCGCUGGAUUGUGAGCUCAGACAAUUGAGCUCAAUUUUUUUUUCUCUUUUCCUUUUCACUUUUUGAAAAAAAUUUUUUAAAAAAAGAUAUUCACCUAUUGUUAAAUUGGCUUACAGAUAAAUGUUAUUAAAUUAAAGGCAUGCCCUCCUUCCCAGGUUGCUAACUGAUCAAAGUGCCACCGAGAUUUAUUUUAUAAAAGUAAUGUGUAUUGUCACCUACAUGCAAUAAUCAAAUUGCAAUAAG
rnacentral:lncRNA from 1 species